UACGAAGGGGGCUAGCGUUGCUCGGAAUCACUGGGCGUAAAGGGCGCGUAGGCGGAUCUUUAAGUCAGGGGUGAAAGCCUGAGGCUCAACCUCAGAAUUGCCUUCGAUACUGUUUGGCUUGAGACCGGAAGAGGUUAGUGGAACUGCGAGUGUAGAGGUGAAAUUCGUAGAUAUUCGCAAGAACACCAGUGGCGAAGGCGGCUGACUGGUCCGGUUCUGACGCUGAGGAGCGAAAGUGUGGGGAGCGAACAGG
rnacentral:rRNA from 1 species